GAUAUGUAUAUGAUGAAAUGCACAACCGUGGAGCACCACACUCACUACGAUUUAGUUUGCUUUAAGCAUUCAGCUUCGUUCUGUAAUGUGAGCACUGAUCCUUUUGUAUGAUAAUAGUUGUAGGAGAGUGAUAUUAUGAUAAAUUUCUGUUUUUCAUGGGAAAAACAUUGACUAAGUGCAUGGCCCCUGUACUGAUAAAAGCUUUCCA
rnacentral:lncRNA from 1 species